AGACUAAAGUUCCGCUUUGCGCUUGUCCCUCCGGAGUGUAGCGGUUUCGUUGGGCUUCUAAAGCUGCUUGAGCUAUGACUGCUGUGCUAGAAGACAGGAUUUCUCUGUUUAGCCCUGGCUGUCCUGGAACUGGCUCUGUAGACCAGGCUGGUGUUGAACUCAAGAGAUCUUCCUGUCUCUGCCUCCUGAGUGCUGGGACUAGAGGUGUGCGAUACCACAGCCAUCACAGCUACCACCCAGCUAAUUCUGAAUGGUAUUAAAAUUAAUGCACCAUCCGUUCGGCCCCCCAUAUUUAUUUGUUUUUAAUUAUGUGUAUGUCUGUAUCCAGAUGUUUGAGGCCAGAAGAGGACAUGGACACCUCAGUGCUACUUGCUUCAGCUGCCUACUAUUAAUUCUGGGGACCAAACUGCAAGAGCAGCACUCACACUUCACCACCGAGCUCAUGAGUCUUUCCAACCCAUACACCUCUCUACUUCUGUCUCUCUCUCAUUCUCCCUCUCCCUCCUUCCCUUUCCCCGACUCUCAUUUGUUUUUGUUUUGCUUUUGAGACAGGGUCUCAGUAUGUAACUUUGGCUGACCUGGAACUCACUGUUGUAGAUCAGGCUGGCCUCGAACUCAGAGAUCUGCUCCCCUGCCUCCUGAGUGCUGGGAUUGAAAGUGUGUGCUACCAUGUCCAGUGCUUCAUUUCUUGACAUAUCAUUUAUGGCUGCUUUUGUCACAGUCUAAAUGGCCCAUAAAACCUAAAGCAUUUAUUCACUUGA